UUGCGGUUAAAAAGCUCGUAGUUGGAUCUCGGCAAGUAGAGGGCGGUAUGCUUCGUAGCAUUACUGCCCUAUUACUUGUAGUUUUGCCAGAGGUUCCUGGGUGCUCUUAAUCGAGUGUCUAGGGAUGCUGGCAGGUUUACUUUGAAAAAAUUAGAGUGCUCAAAGCAGGCUAUUACGCUUGAAUAUUCGUGCAUGGAAUAAUAGAAUAGGAAGUUGUUUCUAUUUUGUUGGUUUCCGGAAAUCGACUUAAUGAUUAAUAGGGACAGUCGGGGGCAUUUGUAUUCAAACGACAGAGGUGAAAUUCUUGGACCGUUUGAAGACAAACUACUGCGAAAGCAUUUGCCAAGAAUGUUUUCAUUAAUCAAGAACGAAAGUUAGAGGUUCGAAGGCGAUUAGAUACCGCCCUAGUUCUAACCAUAAACGAUGCCAGCUAGCGAUCUGAGGACGUUUUUUUUGUAGACUCCUCAGGAAGCUUCCGGGAAACCAAAGCGUGUGGGUUCCGGGGGAAGUAUGGUUGCAAAAGCUGAAACUUAAAGGAAUUGACGGAAGGGCACCACCAGGAGUGGAGCCUGCGGCU
rnacentral:rRNA from 1 species